UUGUAUUCAGUGUCUCUGGAAGGGCAUUUUAAGGAUAACAUUUUCAUUUUGUAUGUGGUCAGUUUUGGUGCCCAGAUCACAGUUAAAAUGUUUGAGACUUUUUGCAGAGGUAGAGAAUUUAUCUGAUGUUUUUCCUGGAUUGUCCAGAUUUUUAUUUCAAGAAUUUUGUACAUUUUAACAGGGUAAAACAAAGAAAUGUAGAAAAAGCCCUCCCACUUCACUUAAAAGGUGCCGUUAAUACUUUAAUUUCCUUGGCGUGGUGAGCCUUAGUGAAGGCCAUCAGAGCUUGAAGGGCAGGCUGUGGCCCUUCCAGGUUAUGGACCUUUAUUAAUUUUAGAUGGAUUUAGUCCUAAGUAGACCCAGAGCUUUCUUUCCCUGGUAAAUGUUUAGUUUAUGAGGCUUUUUUUUUUUAGAAAGCUUUAUGCCAGGUCCCUUUUUUUACAAAUUGCAACUUGAAUCUCUUUGUCCCUUUCGGGCGUGAAGCACAUGUAGUCUUUAGAUUUAGCUAUUCGUUAUUGUUUUAAUCACUGUAGGGGUAACGUUGAAUCGUCGGAACUUUGUUGACCAUCUCCUCCGCUUUCAUCCUGGCCAGAGACCUGCUCUGGGCUCGGCUUGGACCCAUGGCUGCUGUUGCUCAUUCAGAACCGGUGCCUUUGUGCCACUUCGUGGUUCCAGGUGGUAGGACCUGUCUUGGAAUAGACAGGUCCUACCACCUGGAAUAGACUGAUCAUCUGCACUUCUCCCCACUUUGUAACUCACGCGGCCACAAUUCAGACCGCUCUGGGUGGCCUGGGGCCACGUGCUGCCCCUAUGCCUCUCCUCCUAGGCUUCCCAGAAAGCGUUCUCCUUCAUACGGCCAGAUAGCCCUUUGCUCACGGUUUGGGAGGGGCUGCGAGAGACUCUACUGUCAAAGGACCUCGUCCUGUCUUCCAGGUGCUGGGCAGCAUCUCCUUGGCGGGGGUCUGCCGACUGAAUGGUUGUCACCUGAGCAAACGUGGCUCGUUGGCUCAUCUUGGAGAGUCUCAGGGUGCUAGGGUGGAAUUUUCUGAGGUGCAAUCACGUAACAUAAAGUUAACUGUUUCGAAGUGUCCAGUCCAGUGGUGCGUAGGACCUUCACCGCGUUGUGCUACCGCUGCCUGUGUCUAGUUCCAGAACGUUUUCAUCCCCCGAAGGAAGGCCCACACCUGUCAGCAGUCCCUCCCACGCCUCCCUCCCCCAGCCCCUGGCCACACCGUCCGCCCUCCGUCUCAGGACUUGCCUGUGCUGCACGUUUCACGCGAAUGGAAUCUCACAAGUUGGGUUCUACAGUCUUCUGUGUUCAGUCUGUUGUGAUGUCACCAGUCAGGCAGCCUCUGGAAGCCUCUGCUAUACACCAAUGAGAGUGAGAAAGCAUAAGCUUAAAUCAUCUCAGAAGGACAAGGUCCACCAGCUCAUGGCGUUCACUCAGGCUGGUGAGAGAACUGCCAUCCACUGCUUAGCCGAAAGUGAGUGGAAACCGGACGCGCCACGGACAGCUUCUUCCAGAACCCGGCCUCGUUCCACAAGGACUCCGUGAGAACCUGGACAGGAAGAAGCUGGAGCCGCCGUAUAACAGACCCACAAGAUGAAAAUAAAAUUGAAAUUGAUGGAAUGCGAAAGUUUUGUGAUGCUUUAAGCCUAGAUCCUGCCAGUAUCACCGUUUUGGGUAUAGCGUGGAAAUUCAGAGCCGCGACUCUAUGUGAAUUUAGCAAAAAGAAUUUGUAGAUGGCAUGACAGAGCUUGGACUUAGAAAUGGCCGUCGCCUAUUGAAAUUUGGUAUUAUCCGGAAGGCUUAAGUUUUUAGAUCUUUGGAACAUCUUUCUGUUGGAGCAUCGCAAAAGAUCAAUCCCAGGGAACACUUGGAACCUUCUGCUAGAUUUUGGAAAUAUGAUUGCAGAUGACAUGUCCAGCUAUGAUGAAGAAGGAGCAUGGCCUGUUCUUAUAGAUGAUUCCGUGGAAUAUGCGCGGCCAGCGGUCACAGGUGGUAAAGGCAGCCCUCUCUAGGCAGAAAAUGGAUAUGGAUUAAGAUGAAAAGGGAACUGUCCUGCAGGAGACACUGGCCAGCUAUGCCUGUUGCCCAUUUUGGAAGUCAUCCUGACCAGUCGCGAGACUGGAGACCCUCUCCUGCUGCUUAGAGAAGACACCGCUGACUGUGGAGGCCGCACGGAGACCCUCUGAGCUCGCUGCUGCGGCGCCCAGAGACGGGGCCCUGGCUGUUGCUGUAAGAGACCUCUGCGUGACUUCCGCGUUUACGGAGGAGCUGGGGCCCGUCUGCAGGCUGCAGGGUCGCUGUUGAUCAAGACCCAAAGCGAGGCUGCGCUCACCGCACUCGCUGAAUUGUCCGUAACCACCCCUGAGAAACGGUACACGUCAGGCUGCGGGAAACGUGCCCUAAAGAGGACGAUUGUCGUGGAUGCUGACGGUUUCAAACUUGGUGCCAGGGAUAAGAUUUAUAUUUUUUGAAUCAUCAAGUGUCUAGAUUUAUCAGCUCUAUUUUCAGUUCACUUUUCUCUGGAUGUUCAUCUGGGAAUCAUUUUACAGGUUAACGUGCCAUUGCAGUUUGCACAGCGAUGGUGUCAUCGCGAUUCCAGAAAAGUGUUCUUUUAAAUUGCCUGCAAGUCAGUGGGUCUGCUUUACUUCUAAUAAUGUCAGCUGAACUUCCUAAGAAGCUUCAUAAAGUAUGCUUUUUUUUUUUUUUUUUUUUUUUUUUUUUUUUGCGGUACGCGGGCCUCUCACCGCCGUGGCCUCUCCCGUUGCGGAGCACAGGCU